UACGUAGGGUGCAAGCGUUGUCCGGAAUUAUUGGGCGUAAAGAGCUCGUAGGCGGUCUGUCGCGUCUGCUGUGAAAACCUGGGGCUUAACCCCGGGCCUGCAGUGGGUACGGGCAGACUAGAGUGCGGUAGGGGAGACUGGAAUUCCUGGUGUAGCGGUGAAAUGCGCAGAUAUCAGGAGGAACACCGGUGGCGAAGGCGGAUCUCUGGGCCAUUACUGACGCUGAGGAGCGAAAGCGUGGGGAGCGAACAGG
rnacentral:rRNA from 1 species